rnacentral:rRNA from 1 species
GUUUGAUCCUGGCUCAGGACGAACGCUGGCGGCGUGCCUAAUACAUGCAAGUCGAGCGAACCACUUCGGUGGUUAGCGGCGGACGGGUGAGUAACACGUGGGCAACCUGCCUGUAAGACUGGGAUAACUUCGGGAAACCGGAGCUAAUACCGGAUAAUCCUUUUCCUCUCAUGAGGAAAAGCUGAAAGWCGGUUUCGGCUGUCACUUACAGAUGGGCCCGCGGCGCAUUAGCUAGUUGGUGAGGUAACGGCUCACCAAGGCGACGAUGCGUAGCCGACCUGAGAGGGUGAUCGGCCACACUGGGACUGAGACACGGCCCAGACUCCUACGGGAGGCAGCAGUAGGGAAUCUUCCACAAUGGACGAAAGUCUGAUGGAGCAACGCCGCGUGAGCGAUGAAGGCCUUCGGGUCGUAAAGCUC